CCUUGGAGUAUUGCACCAAGAGUCGCUGCUGCGGCUGUGAGGAAGGCUGAAGAAACUGGAGCAGAACACCGAAAGCAUCAGGGGCAUGUGGUAACCACAGAACAGGAAAAGGAAUGUGUGUGUGUGUGCACAUGACCAAAGGACUGAGCGGCGAUGUUCAGACCAUCAGAACAGACCCCUGCAUCUGUGGAUGUUAACUGAACCUCUGAUUGCAACUCAGCCUUAGAGAUCAGCGGUAACACGAGACCUCGCACAACACCAGCUACAGAGUUUGGAGUUCAAUGGAGGAAACAAACAAGUCAACAGGCCGCAGUCAUUGAAUGACACGUGUUCUGCAAUGGCGGUGAGGACGGUAUACAUCGGGAGCACACAGGAGAGGGAUCAUAGGGAGGUCAGGCCCUGAAGACUGAGUGCCUGGGCUGCAGCCGGAUUGUGCAGGUGCUGUGAGAAUGAAGAGAGUUCUACCCUGGAGAUGUUAGUAAGGAGCUGAGACAUUCACAGGCAGAUUCAACAAGCAGUACAGGCACCGGGCUGGCGUUCUGAAGAGAGAUCUGCACUGCUGGGGAAUGAUCAUGACUUAGCUGGUAUUUAACGUCAUGGAAUUGAAUGAGGUCAUCCAGGCAGUGGGCACUGUUCAAGAACACAAGGCCACCACAGAAGGAAUCCUGCACACUGACCUUAACACCUCAGACACAGCAGGGGACAGGAACAGGAACCAGAGAUGGCAGCCAAGAAGAGGGACUGGGGAGGAAACACGCAGGCCAGGAGACUGUGCUGUGUGGAAACUAUGUGGAGAAAGGACAUCAAGACGAAGAGAAUGACCAACCUAAGCCCAAUGGUAGAGACAGCUCAAGCACAACGGGCAACGAGGAGAAACCAUGAGAUUCACACAGCAGCAGGCAUUGGUGGCCUCACCAACAGCUGUUUGGGCCACAGAUUCAAGAGAGACUAGAAAGGCAGGAACCAAUACACUAACGACACACAAGCUUUGGGGUCAUCUGCUAUAAAUGGGACCAUGAUGGGCCAGAAGACUAGAUUCUGUGAGACUCAGCUCACUUGACAAGUCAAUGACUGAAUGACUGAAAUCCUGUCCCUACUCCUCUGGCUCCCUCAUGCACAGCCCCCUCCCACACUCCCUCUUGCAAGCACACAUCCAGCCUGAGAACCAAGAGGGCCCAUAGACUCAACGCCAGGGGACGGCUUUUGUUUCUUCCUCCUUUAACAAAAGGGACAGCCCACGAAGGAGGAGCCUGUCUCUUCUAUACCCAUGCAGUUCCCACCCACCACACAACCACCGUUCCAAGAGAAAUUAGUGAUGUGCUCCCAAGGAGGGAGACGUCCCAAUUUCAGUGCAAACACCCAGAGGGGAGGGACUCUGCCCAUCCGCUCACCACUUCACCCCAGUACUGAAAACAGCAAGUUACCUGGGAAACUGAGAUAAUCCCAUUUUCUGCCAUUUACUAUGCUAAUCUUGGGAUAUUUUCCAGUUUAUUCCAACUAAA